GGAUUGUGGCUCAGCGGUACAGCACUCGCCUUGCACGUGUGCAGCCCUGAGUUCGAUCCUCAGCACCA
rnacentral:tRNA from 1 species